rnacentral:sRNA from 1 species
UAUAUAAAUGAUAUUAAACUUCAAAGUUAAUUUAUGGCCCAGUAGUCUUUAAUGAAGAGGUUAAAGAAUAAGAAAAGCCUAGAAAUUUCUAUUAGGUUUAGGAGUUAUCUAAGUCCUAAUUGUAAUAGGAUUUGCAAAGUUGUGCCUCCUAU